UACAGAGGGUGCAAACGUUGCUCGGAAUUAUUGGGCGUAAAGCGCAUGUAGGCGGCACGAUAAGUUCACUGUGAAAGCCCUUGGCUCAACCAAGGAAGUGCAGUGAAAACUGUCGAGCUCGAGUUCUGAAGAGGGUCGCGGAAUGGCCAGUGUAGAGGUGAAAUUCGUAGAUAGUGGGUGGAACACCGGUGGCGAAGGCGGCCAUCUGGACGGUAACUGACGCUGAGACGGCGAAAGCGUGGGAGCAACAGGAUUAGAUAC
rnacentral:rRNA from 1 species